rnacentral:rRNA from 1 species
CUACGGGGGGCUGCAGUGAGGAAUAUUGCACAAUGGGGGGAACCCUGAUGCAGCAACGCCGCGUGGAGGAUGACGCAUUUCGGUGUGUAAACUCCUUUUAUAUGUCAAGAAAAUGACGGUAGCAUAUGAAUAAGCACCGGCUAACUCCGUGCCAGCAGCCGCGGUAAUACGGAGGGUGCAAGCGUUACUCGGAAUCACUGGGCGUAAAGGACGCGUAGGCGGGUUGGAAAGUCAGGUGUGAAAUCCUACAGCUUAACUGUAGAACUGCACUUGAAACUUCUAAUCGAGAGUAUGGGAGGGGGAGAUGGAAUUAGUGGUGUAGGGGUAAAAUCCGUAGAUAUCACUAGGAAUACCUAAAGCGAAGGCGAUCUCCUGGAACAUUACUGACGCUAAUGCGUGAAAGCGUGGGGAGCAAACAGGAUUAGAUACCCUAGUAGUC